rnacentral:rRNA from 1 species
UGGGUAACCUGCCUCAAAGAGGGGAAUAGCCUCCCGAAAGGGAGAUUAAUACCGCAUAAUAUGUUUAGGUCGCAUGACUUUAACAUCAAAGGAUUUUCUUUUAGAAAUUCCACUUUGAGAUGGACCCCGCGGCGCAUUAGCUAGUUGGUGAGGUAACGGCUCACCAAGGCAACGAUGCGUAGCCGACCUGAGAGAGUGAUCGGCCACAUUGGGACUGAGACACGGUCCAGACCU